UGCUCUUAUUAUAUAUACUCUUAACUUCAUCUCUUUUUUUAAAGGCACCUAUAUACAUAGAUAGUUAAUAGGUUUAUUAUUACUGUUAGAGAAAGUUUGAAAUAACCAUAUUACAAAUUACUGACUGAAAACUGUACUUAUUGGAAACCCAGACUGUGUAUUGGUGGUAUUGUAACACAAUGAUGCAAUUAGUUUAAUACGUCAUGAAGAUUUCUGUGAAAGUGAAACAACAGAAAGUGCUCAAUGUAAACACAUAUCAGAUGUGCGCCAUCAGGGAGGUGGCUGCAGGUCUGCAUUAAAGCACUGUGUAAAGUCCCAUCUCUUCAUUUCAUUUAUCAGCUUGUAUUUGCAUCACAGUGAUGGCAGCAGCAGUUUUGGACAGAAGCAGAGGGGUGGCUGUUUUCAGCAUCAACAAAGGCCUGUUCCUCAUGUCCACCCUGCUGUGUCUGGUUUGCCUUUCAAGUGCCCUGAUAGACAAGGACCAACUGGAAAAACUGAAAGACGACUAUCAGAAAUCACACCAGCAACUAGAAAAACUGAAGAUUGUGUUCAAACAACAAGUGACUGACUCCAAACAACAAAUGACUGUGUUCAAACAACAAGUGACUGAGAUUACAGAGAUGCUGAAGGAAACCGAGGCUUACAUUGAUAGGGAGGAAAAGCAGUUGGGAGGGAAAAUAGAAGAAAGUGAAAAAUGUCUACAAAAUCAGAAGAAAUUUAUUGAAUUCCUUGAGGAACUGCAAGCUGAAUUGUAACUUCCAUCUCAGUGAUUUCCUUUUUCUCUGAUGUUGCAUCUGUUUAGUUCCCUUAUCAUAUAGUACUUGUUUAAGUUUGGUUUAACUUUUUUAAAAGUGUCCCCCUUCUUUACAAUUUUACAUAAACUCCAGAGGAUUUUAUGUGUUAAUGAAGUUUAAGGAAUACAUUUUCAGAACUUACAGAUUUUUCUACCAUUACUUGAUUUCUGCAGUGGAAAAAAAUGUUUGUAUGACCUGACACAUAAAAAAAACAUUAACCUACUACUGUUACUGUUUGUUGUCAGAAUAUCUAUCUCAAAAUAUACGACUUUUUUUGCCGUAUCCCCAGCAGUCAGCCACAAAAGUGGAUUAACUAAAAUAUAUGUGACCUAUUUGCAAAUUAUGUAAAGAUAAACAAAAUUGUUCAGUUUUAAAAUAUAUUUAAAGAUUGCAUUUAUAAUUUAGUGCACUCUGUAGUGCUUCACUUUUUUUCUCCUCAUGUUGUCAUUAAGGCAUUUUCAUCUGUCUCAUAGCGACACUGUGCAUGUUCCAGUAAAGACAAACAGGCAAAAUAAAGUUAUUUGUAAAACAAAUGUGAAAGCCUGAGCUUCAAAGUUAAGCUAAGAUGAAAGUCUUACUGCAUCUACACACAUACAAACACAGUGCAACAACCUACCCAAAAACACACACACACAGAAGAGCUGAGCACUAUUUUACCACCAUUGGAAGACGUUGUUCCCAGUUUAAGGAAAUGCACUGCACUGGUUUGAAUCAUAUCUACCUGACAAAUUUCAGUUUGUAAAUGCAAGUUGGGAGUCUGCUUCAUGUACAAAAGUUAGUCAUUGAGUUUCAAAGAAUUCUGUGCUGGGAACAAUUCUGUUCAGAUUAAACUUGUUCCCUUAGGCAGUACUGUAAGAAAACACUGCAUACAU
ensembl:lncRNA